rnacentral:lncRNA from 1 species
GUUAUCGCGAUUUUCGGGUGUCAAGUCAUUAAUUAGGCUUGAACCUUUCAAUCUUUGAUAUUCUCUAUUUUUUCUUGGGAAGGGCAAAAUUGAGAAAAAAACCCUUAGAUUCGAAGUUCGGGGGUCGUUUUCACUACGGGAAGGUGUUAGGCACCCGGAGCGAUUAUGGUACUCCAUAAGAACCGUUCUCCUAAGUUUAUUUCUACGCUUUAUUUUUAUUGCCUACUUAUUGAAAGAAAAGAAGUUUUAUUUGAGUGAAGAAUGGGGGAGAGAAGAUGAUUGAGAUCUUAUUUUUAUUUGGCUUGGAGGAGUUUUGACUCAUUGCCUACGUACCCUUUUAAGGGAUCAAAACCAANN